rnacentral:rRNA from 1 species
UACGGAGGGGACUAGCGUUGUUCGGAAUUACUGGGCGUAAAGCGCACGUAGGCGGAUUUGUAAGUCAGGGGUGAAAUCCCGGGGCUCAACCUCGGAACUGCCUUUGAUACUGCAAAUCUCGAGUCCGGAAGAGGUGAGUGGAAUUCCUAGUGUAGAGGUGAAAUUCGUAGAUAUUAGGAAGAACACCAGUGGCGAAGGCGGCUCACUGGUCCGGUACUGACGCUGAGGUGCGAAAGCGUGGAGAGCAAACAGG